GGCGGUCUUAGAGUCCGGCCGUUCGGACCGAAUAUGUCGUCCGGCAACUCCCGCCCAAUAUUUCCCGCCUGGGGUAUUGCGCGUAUAGGCUGUAUAGAAGCUAGCACUCUGAAUCUGGGCUAUUGGUCACUGUAACCCGCGUCAAUAGCAAGACAGGCGUGGCUGCGGACAGAUGACAGGCUGUCCCAUCAGCUACUCACCCACAUGCAAAUGACUUUUUAACGAAUUAAAAAAAGUCAUAACUCUUAAACCAAACAUCCAAAUUAAAUUUCAAUCACACCAUCAAAUUUCUUAUAAUAAAUCCUUUAAAACAAGAUCUCAUAUGAAUAUAUUCAGAUAAAAUUUUAUUAAUAAACAAUUAUCUAUUAAAAAUAUAACAUUGUCUUUUAUUGAGCAGAUGAAAUGUUCUAAGUUUAGAGAACAAUGUUCCAUCUUAGGAGGAAACAUGUUCUGGAUUUAGAAGGAUAAUAUUCUAGUUUUAGGUUUGUGAUAUUGGUAUUAUAAUAUACGUAAAAAUAAAUAAAAGUACAUAACACAAAUAAAAGAAAUAAAAUUUAUAGCAAUGCAUAAGGAAAACAAAUAAAUACAUGUAAUUGAAAAAAACUUUAAAAGAACAUCACGUGGAUACUUUUCAAACAUCCUAAAAUAUAAUAUAGAACAACACAUAUAUAUUAAGCGAACAUUACUAAAUACAUUAUAGAACAUCACAUGUAUACUAAGUGAUACUAAGUGAAUAUCACAAAAAUAUCAUAGAACAUCACGUAUAUACCAAGAGAACAUUACUAAAUACAAUAUAGAACAUCACUAAAUACAUUAUAGAAUAUCGCAUAUAUAUAUUACGUGAACAUCACUGAAUAUAUAGUAGAACAUUACAUGUAUACUAAGAGAACAUCACGAAAAACAUCAUAGAACAUCACGUGUAUACUAUAUGAACAACACAUAUUAUAGAACAUUAUAUGAAUACUAUAUAAAUAUAACAUAACACAAUAUAGAACAUUAAACGUACGUGAAUAUCACAUAUAUAGGAAAAAAUUUAAAAGUAAAAAUAAAUUAUUAAAACAAUUAAUUAGAAUAAAACAACUAAUAAACAUACACAUAAAAAAUUAACCGUUAACAAAUGAUAAAUAUGUAGAACAUGAGUAACUUAAACAAGGACAUAAAAAAAUACAAAUAAUAAUGUAAAAUCACAUAAAAAAGAAAUAGAAAUAAAAAUAAAUUGGAGAAAAUAAAAAAUAUUAAGAAAGGAAAGGGAAGUAAAAAUGGAGAAAAGAAAUAAAAGAAACAUUAAAAGUAUAAAACCUGAAAAAUAACAAAAAUCAAAUAGAACAUCACUAAAUAUAUUAUGGAACAUCACAAAUACAUUACAUGAACAUCACUCAAUACAUCAUAGAACACCACAUAUAUACUAAGUGAACAUCACUGAAUACACCAUAGAACAUUACUGGAUACAUUAUAGAACAUCGUAUAUAUAUUACCUAAACAUCACUAAAUAUACCACAAAAAUAUUACAUGUAUACUGAAUGAACGUCACUAAAUUCAAAAUCAAAAGAAAAAAAAUAAAAAAAUAGAACAUCAGCACGUGAACAUCAAAGAAAAUAACAAGAAUAAGAAAAAAGAUAAAAUAUACAAAACAAAGAAUAAUAUAAAACAAAAAAGGAAAAUAAAAAUAAAGCACAAAAAAGAUAGAAAAAGAACCAAAUGGAAUAUAAAAUGAAAAAAAUAAAGAAAAAGGAAAGAAAAAUUAAAAAAAAGAAACAAAGAAAGAUUAAGAAAUAAAACAUGAAUAAAAGAAAACAUAAUUAAAAAUAUAAAAGGAAAAACAAAAUCAAAAUCAAAAUAAUAAAAAUAAGAAAAAAAUAUAAAGAUACAAAACAGAGAAUAAUAUAAAACAAAAAAGGAAAAUAAAAAUAAAGCAAAAAAAGAUAGAAAAAAAACCAAACAGAAUAUAAAAUAAAAAAAUAAAAAAAGAAAAGAAAAAGAAAAUAUAGCAAGUAGCAAGAAAAAGAAAAAGAUAAAAGAAACAAAAAAAGAAGAGAAAACUAACAGCAACGAUGGCGAGGGAAAAAGAAAAGAAACAUAAAAAGAAAGAAAAAAAGAAGGAAAGAAAAGGAAAGAAAAAAUGAAAAAGAAAGAAAUAAAAAGAAAACGUACCUGGCAACAACCCGUCACGCACUCACGCAUGCGCGGGAAUCCCCAUCACGC
rnacentral:lncRNA from 1 species